rnacentral:lncRNA from 1 species
AAAUGGAUAAUGCUUUAGAUUUAUGAUUUAAUUCUAAUAAUAAUAAUGUAUUAUAGGCUGGCCCUACUAUACUCUUAUGAGUAUAGAUCUCCUUAUACUCAUAAAUUUUUAACUGUUGAUUGACGGAAUGUGUGGUUAGAAUGAUGGUGGUCCCCACUUAAAAUAAUAGUGGUCCCCUAAGGUUGAGUGGGUAGUUGGUCAAAUAGUAUGAUCUAACAGAUGAAAAUGAUUAAUGGAAUAAAUUUAAUGACCGAAUACUUAUAAGUAUAAAAGAGUCAAUACUCAUAAAAGUAUAGUAGCCGGACUCAUGUAUAAUAAUAUAUAUUGCCAACUCAGUUAUAAUAUUGGAAUAAUUUUAUACAGGUCUAUGUAAAUACAUUUCUAUAAAGUUCAAAGAUAUAUUAUCCCGGUAAAAAAUUUGAUGUUUUUAAAUAUAUCUCUACCAUAAGAAUCUAUUAGAAAAAAUUAGUUAACCAUCAGUAAAAUACUUAAUUCUAAUUAGUUAAUGAGGUGAAUUAACCUUUUUACCCCCGUUCAAUUAACAGUUGAAAUUUUUGGAGGGAACAUAUUUGUGAUGGCAAAAAUGUUAUUUCACUUACAAAAUAAACAAUGUUUGACGGUAAUAAAUCAGAGGAACAUUUUUGAAAAUAUUAGAAUUUUUUUAGGAAUAAUAUAUAAAAGUUGAAUUUUGUAAAAAUAUAUUUACAAUUCACUAUAUUUGUAGAGACAUGUAUAAAAUUAAUCCUAUAAUAUUAUAAGGAAUCCUAUGUAGAGU